rnacentral:misc_RNA from 1 species
ACGUAAUAAUUAUUUAUAUCUUACGUACAUGUAAUAUGUAUAUACACAUAGUGCAAAGGUGACUGAUUUAGUCAUCAACGUCCUGCUCAAACCGCUGUACCUACACACGUGAAAUUUGGAAAGUAUAUCUAUUUUUUGACGCAGAUGUUGGGUAAGAAAGGAUUUUUAAAAAUGCGGACUCUAAAGGGGUAAAAAGAGGAUAAAAUUGUAUGGUUACCUGAUAAUUAUACUUCUAUGUACACUAAAGUUAGAGGCUUGAAAUUCAGCAUGUGAACUCCUCGUUAAAAAUAAACAUACACAUGUUUGAGCGUUUUUUUAAAAGCAACCCUUGUGAGAAAGGGGUGAGCAAGGGGCAAGUUACUUUCUCAAAGGACCCUAUCUCUAUAUUCACCAAAGAUAGAAACGUGAAAUUCAACCUUAUGAACUCCUCAUUAAAAUUAAACAUACACGUGUUUGAGCAUUUUUCCAAAUGCACCCUUUUGAGAAAGGGGUGAACAGGAGACAAGUUACUUUCUCAAAGGACCCUAUCUCUACAUCCACCAAAGUUAGAAACGUGAAAUUCGACAUAUAAACUCCUCAUUAAAAAUAAGCAAACACGUGUCUGAUCGUUUUUCGAAAUCCAAGCCGAAGCUGAAAUUUCCCGACGUCGCCAACGCCUCACGAAAUUAUCGGGCGACAGUAACAGAUACCUCGGGUGGAUUAAAAU